UAAGCAAUUUCGUAUAGUCGCGCCCCUCUCUUUGCUGCCUCUACCGCCACGCCAUCGCUCCAGGCUGCCGGCGAGUCGCCACUCCACCGCGCUCACCGGAGGUGCCUCCAGCCUCCUCCUCGCAUGCCGCAACACUCGCGCCGCAUCCUCGCUUACACGCUCGCCCCGUCCCAUGCUCGCCCCUCCGACGCAAUGUGCCGGCCUCUCGUGUGCUCAGCGCCGGCGCGCUCAGGGCGUUUGGCGAAAUGCCGACCCAGAUGCCGGUUCUUGGACUGCGGGUGGACUCGUGGAGCAGGCGCGCUCUGAAGCGUGGGCGUAUGUGCCGCGUGCAGGGCGGCGAGGCGGGUGGUUUCUUGGCCGCGGGCAAUCCUUGGACAUGGAGAAGGAGAAGAUGUGUUUAAAGGGCAGUCUGGUGGACGGAGCUCCCGCUUGCGCAGCGUUCGGGGAAGGGCCCGACAACUUUGGGCCUAUUGUACACAGCCUUUUCCUACAUUUCUGUAAGAGACUGUUUCGGAACAACCCGUGACCUCAUGGUCACAACUCACAAGGCAACAGCUUUACCACUGCGCCAAGGCUCCCCUUCAGAAGAUGUGUUUUUGAAAGGAAAAUAAAAACAGUUGGGUAACGACUUGCAGAAUAUUCUGAAAGGUGCUUGCGAUGGAGAGCAAGCAUCGGUGUCUCAGUCCGUAUGUGGACAAACCCAGGCAAGAAGAAGUGCAAUAUUGUUGCUUGAUGGACAAGGUGGAUGGUUGACUUACUGUUGCUGGGUGAUCUGUCCUCUCUUCCAUCCUCUUGAUUUACUAACCCUCAUCACGCGAGCUUCAUCUGAUGCUUACCUUUGCCUUUUGAUUCUCCUGCUCCACUGGCGCACUAUUAUAUUGUGAACCAUGGACUGUGACGCUUUGUGGCUAUCAACUGAAUUUGGAAGGGGUUCAAACUUUAAAGUAAUCUGGGUAACGUGUGAGGGCUGGCUGGCAGGCUAGUUGAUCACUUGGCUCUGAUGAUGCUCGUGUGGUCAUGGUCUUUUGAGACAGAACCAUGUAUUAAUCUCUACUGCUUUAUUAUCUUAAAAAUUAUCUGAGUUGGUA